rnacentral:rRNA from 1 species
AUUGAACGCUGGCGGUAUGCUUAACACAUGCAAGUCGAACGGUAACAGGCCGUCGGGCGCUGACGAGUGGCGUACGGGUGCGUAACGAGACGGAAUAUGCCUGGUCGAGGGGGACAACUUGGGGAAACUCAAGCUAAUACCGCAUACGCCCUCAGGGGGAAAGCGGGGGACCAUCGGACCUAGCGCGAUCCGAUGAGCCUGCGUUGGCUUAGCUAGUUGGUAGGGUAAAGGCCUACCAUGCCGACGAUCCAUAGAUGGUCUGAGAGGACGAUCAUCCACACUGGGACUGAGACACGGCCCAGACUCCUACGGUAGGCAGCAGUGGGGAAUAUUGGACAAUGGGCGCAAGCCUGAUCCAGCAAUACCUCGUGUGUGAAUAAGGCCUGAGGGUUGUAAAGCACUUUUAAUAGGGAGGAAAACCUAUCGGCUAAUACCCGGUGGCUUGACAUUACCUAUAGAAAAAGCACCGGCUAACUCCGUGCCAGCCGCCGCAGUAAAAC